UACGUAGGUGGCAAGCGUUGUCCGGAAUUAUUGGGCGUAAAGCGCGCGCAGGCGGCCUCUUAAGUCUGAUGUGAAAGCCCCCGGCUCAACCGGGGAGGGCCAUUGGAAACUGGGAGGCUUGAGUAUAGGAGAGAAGGAGUGGAAUUCCACGUGUAGCGGUGAAAUGCGUAGAGAUGUGGAGGAACACCAGUGGCGAAGGCGACUCUUGGCCUAUAACUGACGCUGAGGCGCGAAGCGUGGGAGC
rnacentral:rRNA from 1 species